rnacentral:rRNA from 1 species
CCUACGGGGGGCAGCAGUGAGGAAUAUUGGUCAAUGGUCGGGAGACUGAACCAGCCAAGCCGCGUGAGGGAUGAAGGUACAGAGUAUCGUAAACCUCUUUUGUCAGGGAACAAAGGCGGGGACGCGUCCCCGGAUGAGUGUACCUGAAGAAAAAGCAUCGGCUAACUCCGUGCCAGCAGCCGCGGUAAUACGGAGGAUGCGAGCGUUAUCCGGAUUUAUUGGGUUUAAAGGGUGCGUAGGCGGGCAUUUAAGCCGGCGGUCAAAUGUCGGGGCUCAACCCCGGCCUGCCGUCGGAACUGGGGUCC